rnacentral:misc_RNA from 1 species
UUGUUUGUCUCAUCCCCAUGUUAGAGGGCUGGCCCAAAAACAUAUUAGGAGGACCAUCAGUUUUCCUGCUUUGAGAAGGAAUAUCAAUUGAUGUUUGCAUGCAAGAGAGAACAGAUGAGCUGCUGUUACUGAAUGCAUUGGGUCUAUCAGCAUGUACAGGUUCGUGCAUGCCAUUAGGCUUUGCAGCAGUUCCAACAUUUUCGGCAGCACCGCAAGUUGAAUUUUGAUGCAUUGGCAUAAUAUUACACCCAUUAGACAUAGGUAGAGAAGCAAUUGCACUUGGAACUUGCUGCGUCAUCUUCACCUGUUCCGAAAGCAACCUGUUGAAUUCUAUUAUUUGCUCUUUCACCAUCAGCUUCAGGUAAUAUGCUUGGAAAAAUUCCUGAUUUUCUUCUUCUAGUUUCUGCCAAACGAGUUCAGUAAAUGUAGGCUCUAUGCUGUCCUGGAUGAAGAGAGUGUUCACGACUUCUUUCCGACUCAUGUAUUGCCGAAGACAGUGCUCAAUCCGAUUUUGCACCAUUUGUAUUUCUUCACAGGAGACUUUAGGUCCAUCUCCGCUCGACAUUUUUGAGGCCCCAACUUUAAACUAUUGCAAUAAAGCUCUGUACCACUUUUUCAGUAGAAGUGUACACCCUAGCUUCCGUGCACCAUCAAUGAGAGUAAUUCAGAAAGGUAGUCACUUAAACCUAUAAUCCAGCUAAUUGAGUAAAUUUUAACAAAUUUUCUUCCUUUCUGAUGCAAUUCAAAGUGUUUUUAAGUGAAUUGAAAGAAGCAGAAGAAGAG